rnacentral:tRNA from 1 species
UUCUAAUGUGGCAGAAUAGUGUAAUGGAUUUAAACCCCAUUUAUAAAGGAAUCCUUUCUUUAGAA